CCGUCUUCCUCUCGAUCCCGUUCCCGUCCUGUCCCGUGUCCCAUUCCCACUCCAGUCCUGUCUCUCUCUCCCAUCCCGUUCCCGUUCCGUCUCCCAUCCCAUUCCCGUCCUGUGUCCUGUUCCCGUUCCUAUCCCGUCUCCCUUUCCCAUUCCCGUCCUAUCCCGUGUCCCAUUCCCGUUCCAGUCCCGCCUCCUCUCCCAUCCCAUUCCCGUUCCGUGUCCCGUUCCCGCUUCCCUCUCUCAUCCCAUUCCCGUCCUGUCCCGUUCCCAUUCCAGUCCCGUGUCCCUCUCCCAUCCCGUUUCUCAUCCCUGUCCCAUUCCCGUUCCCAUCCCGUCUCCCUCUCCCAUCCCAUUCCCAUUCCCGUCCUGUCCCGUGUCCCAUUCCCGCUCCAGUCCCGCCUCCUCUCCCAUACCAUUCCCAUCCCAUUCCCUUUCCGUGUCCCGUUCCCCCUCCCAUCCCAUUCCCGUCCUGUCCAGUGUCCCAUUCCCGUUCCCAUCCCGUCUCCCUCUCCCAUCCCAUUCCCGUCCUGUCCCAUGUCCGAUUCCCACUCCAGUCCCGUCCCGUGUCCCGUUCCCAUCCCAUCUCCUCCUCCCAUCCCAUUCCCGUUCCGUGUCCCGUUCCCGUUCCCGUCCCGUCUCCCUUCUCCCAUCCCGUGUCUCAUUCCUGUCCCCGUCCCGUGUCCCAUUCCCGUUCCUAUCCUGUCUCUCUCUGCCAUCCCGUUCCCGUUUCCCGUUCCCAUCCCGUUCCCUUUCCCAUCCCAUGCCCGUUCCCAUCCCAUUCCGGUCCCGUCUCCCUUUCCCAUCCCAUUCCCAUUCCCGUCCCGUGUCCCAUUCCCGCUCCCGUCCCGUUCCCGUCCCGUCUCCCUCUCCCACCCCGUGUCUCAUUCCCGUUCCCAUCCCGUUCCCUGUCUCGUUCCCGUUUCCCGUUCCCAUCCCAUUCCCGUUCCCGUCCCGUCUCCCUUUCCCGCUCCAGUGCCGUCCCGUAUCUCAUCCCAUUCCCGUCCCGUGUCCCAUUCCCG
rnacentral:lncRNA from 1 species